rnacentral:lncRNA from 12 species
GGCUGGCAAAAGAGGAUGACAACUCCUCCUGGCUGACUGGAAAUGUUGCUGUAAGGAGCAUUCAUGUGCUCUGGCUUUGCAUUUGCACACAUUCCCCAUGUGUGCUCUACACUGUGAAGAGGAGGAGCUAUGAAGUUUUUGGGAGACACACGAGA